GGCAUAAUACAUGCAAGUUGAACGGGAUUCAGAUAGCAAUAUUUGAUGAGAGUGGCGCACGGGUGCGUAACACGUAUGCAACUUACCUUAAACUGGGAGAUAGCCCGUGGAAACAUGGAUUAAUAUCCCAUAGUAUAAAGAACAGGCAUUUGUUUUUUAUUAAAGCUCCGGCGGUUUAAGAUGGGCACGCGCGUCAUUAGCUAGAUGGAGAGGUAACGGCUCACCAUGGCAACGAUGACUAGGGGGUCUGAGAGGAUGUCCCCCCACGCUGGUACUGAGACACGGACCAGACUCCUACGGGAGGCAGCAGUAGGGAAUAUUGGGCAAUGGACGCAAGUCUGCCCCAUCCAUGCCGCGUGCAGGAAGACGGCCCUCUGGGGGCUUUCUC
rnacentral:rRNA from 1 species